GGUUGAGGCCAGGAAAUAAAUAAAUUACGGGGGGAGGGGGCGUGGAGCCGGCGCCAGGGUUCGCGGACGCUCACCUUCCGGAGGCGCGCAGGUGUGUUCAAUGUGCGGGCGCAGGCGAGACCCGAGGACUGGCAGGCAGCCGGGCAGUGGAAGCUCGUCUGCCACCUGCUACGUUAGUCGCGGGGGAAGGGAAGAGGAACAGAAUCGAAAUACGCCUCCCACCCCCGCUCCUCUCAAUUCACUGUAGGUGUUUAUCACAGUAGGUCACAGUAUGACCAAGCUUUACUCUCUUCUCUUUUCUCUUACCCUCCAGAAAUUUUAAGAAAAUACACUACCUUUCAAUGAAACGCCUCUCUUUUUCAUCUUCUGCCAGUGCUGUCUAAUCAAAAUAUGAGAGCCACAAAUGCAAGCCACUUACAUAAUUAUAAAUUUUCUAGAAUGCACCUUACGCGAGUGAAAAGAAACAGGUGAAAUUAAUUUACAUAAUAUCAUUUACUUAAGUAGAUUCCAAAUGGUAUCAUUCCAACAUGUAAUUAAUAAAGAUACAAAAUUUUUUCAUACUAAUCAAAAUCCAAUGUGUAUUCUAGGCUUGUGGCAUAUCUCACUUAGGAUGAAGCCAUUUGAAGUGCUCAGUAGCCCUCUGAGGCUAGUUGCUACUGCACUGCACAACAAAUUUCUAUCCAUUAUUUAUGUGUAAAUUAUUGUUUUUUAAAAACCAGCUCUGAUGGUGCUAAAGCCAAAUGAGAGGAAAAUGUAAGUAAUAAAAAGGAAAAAAAAAUGAUUUUUUCAGUAUGAAAUUGAAACAUCUUCACAAAUUGAUUGUAGCCCUGUAUUUUAAGCAAGGCUUAAUGUUUUUCAAUUUUGUCAUCUUGAGAAUCAUUUGUUAGGAAAAAAUAAACCUGUUAACAAUUUCUUCUUGCUAAUAAAGAAAACACUGACAUCUUCACCUAAAUGAAGGAGGAAAAUAGCUCUGAUGAAGGCGUGCAUUCUCAGUCCUGUCCACUCUGUGCAACCCCAUGGACUAUAUAGCCCGCCAGGCUCCUCUGUCCAUGGGAUUCUUCAGGGGAGAACGUUGGAGUGGGUUGCCAUUUCCUCUGCCAGGAGAUUUUCCCAACCCAGGGAUGAAACCCACAUCUUCUUCAUCUCCUGCAUUGGCAGGCAGAUUCUUUAUCAUUGAGCCACCUGUAAAGCCCUAAUGAAGGCAAUCAUGAAUAAAUGUUUAACACUGUUGAUUGUUGGCAAAAAUAAGUCAGGGAUGGAAGCCAGCAAAAAGUGUGGUUCCUCGGUGCUGAGAAAGAAUGUAGGGUUCAAAGUAGGCCAGAAGUUUGGUUUGGAUCCUGGUUUAGACCCUUAAUGCCUGGGUGGUCUUGGAUUUAAUUUUAGUUAAGGAUCUUGAGAUGAAUUCAUCCUGGAUUUAGGGAGGACCUUAAAUCCACUGGCUGAUGUCUUCAUAAGGGAAAGGAGAGGGAGAUUUGGGCACAGAGAGACACACAGAAAGGGUAGAAAUGUGAAGAGGAAGCAGAGAUUGGAGUGUCUCUGCAAGCCAAAGAACACCAGCGACUGCUGACAACCAGAAGUGACUGCCGAUAACGAGAAGCUUUCUCUACAUGCUAAUAG
ensembl:lncRNA